rnacentral:rRNA from 1 species
GAUGAACGCUGGCGGCGUGCCUAAUACAUGCAAGUCGAGCGAACAGACGAGGAGCUUGCUCCUCUGACGUUAGCGGCGGACGGGUGAGUAACACGUGGAUCACCUACCUAUAAGACUGGGAUAACUUCGGGAAACCGGAGCUAAUACCGGAUCAUAUAUUGAACCGCAUGGAUCAAUAGUGAAAGACGGCUUUGCUGUUACCUAUAGAUGGAUCCGCGCCGCAUUAGCUAGUUGGUAAGGUAACGGCUUACCAAGGCAACGAUGCGUAGCCGACCGGAGAGGUGGAUCGGCCACACUGGAACGGGGACACGGUCCAGACUCCUACGGGAGGAAGCAGUAGGGAUUCUUCCGCAAUGGGCGAAAGCCGGACGGAGCAACGCCGCGUGAGUGAUGAGGUUCUUCGGAUCGUAAAACUCUGUUAUUAGGGAAGAACAAAUGUGUAAGUAACUAUGCACGUCUUGACGGUACCUAAUCAGAAAGCCACGGCUAACUACGUG